UCUUACCGGGACCGACAGCAUAUGAAGGCCAGGCUGAAGACUUUGCCGGAUUAGCUGAGAGGUGGUGCAUGGCCGUCGUCAGUUCGUACUGUGAAGCAUCCUGUUAAGUCAGGCAACGAGCGAGACCCACGCCCACAGUUGCCGGCGUACUCUCCGGAGUGACGGGUACACUGUGGGGACCGCCGCUGCUAAAGCGGAGGAAGGAAUGGGCAACGGUAGGUCAGUAUGCCCCGAAUAUCCCGGGCUACACGCGAGCUACAAUGGUUGGUACAAUGGGUAUCUACCCCGAAAGGGGACGGGAAUCUCCUAAAACCAAUCUUAGUUCGGAUUGAGGGCUGCAACUCGCCCUCAUGAAGCUGGAAUCCGUAGUAAUCGCGUUUCAACAGAACGCGGUGAAUACGUCCCUGCUCCUU
rnacentral:rRNA from 1 species